rnacentral:lncRNA from 1 species
UUUUUUAAAAAAAAUUAGUUUCUAACUAAAAUUUGGACAAUUUAAAACAAACAAAAUAAAAAGUUCACAAAUGGUAUAUACAGAAUAUGUAUGCGUCUUGUAGAGCUAGAAGUAAACAUAGAGUCAAGUAUUUAUAAAAAGUAUUGAAUACAACAAAAAUGCAGACAAGUCCCGAAAAGACUGAAAAAGAGAGGCGAAAGAUACCAAAGGAACAUUUAAAUUCAUUUGUCGAAAAUAAACUGACAAUGCCAUGACAAAAAAAACUGACCAAAGGACAAACAACAGUACACAAAACACAACAUAGAUUUUCGUAUUGCAAUUAUUUUAAAAUGAUCUCAGUUCCUUGAACUAUAAAUGAAAGUAUGUUUAAAAGUAGAUAAAUAGAUGCAGUUCUUCUCAAAUCCUAACACUUUGAAAUCAAUUUUCCAUUUGCCCUCUGUUCUGUCACAUAUUUCGUUACAUUGCGAGUCAUACUUUAUGAUGUCAUACUUAUGUCAUUAAUAUUAUUCUUUCAGAUUGAAAUAAGAAUUAUCAAUAAACUUGAGUCUUAUGUUAAUGGUUUUCAUCUAUUUC